rnacentral:rRNA from 1 species
UCAAAAACAUGUCUGUAUGGUUGUUAUAUAGAGUCUGGCCUGCCCUCUGAUAUUUAUUGAAGGGCCGCGGUAUCUUGACCGUGCGAAGGUAGCAUAAUCAUUAGUCUUUUAAUUGGAGGCUUGUAUGAAUGGUUGGACAAAAAGUAAGCUGUCUCAUCUACAGAGUUUGAAUUUAACUUUUAAGUGAAAAGGCUUAAAUGUUCUAGGGGGACGAUAAGACCCUAUAAAGCUUUACAAUAACUGAAAUACAUUAAGAUUUGUUAGUAUAAUUUGGUUUAUUUUGGGUUUGUUUCGUUGGGGCGACGAGAAUAUAAGUUAGAUAACUGUUCUU